GAUGAACGCUGGCGGCGUGCCUAAUACAUGCAAGUCGAACGCACAGCGAAAGGUGCUUGCACCUUUCAAGUGAGUGGCGAACGGGUGAGUAACACGUGGAUAACCUACCUCAAGGUUGGGGAUAACAUUUGGAAACAGAUGCUAAUACCGAAUAAAACUUAGUAUCGCAUGAUACCAGGUUAAAAGGCGCUACGGCGUCACCUAGAGAUGGAUCCGCGGUGCAUUAGUUAGUUGGUGGGUAAAGGCUUACCAAGACAAUGAUGCAUAGCCGAGUUGAGAGACUGAUCGGCCACAUUGGGACUGAGACAGGCCCAAACUCCUACGGGAGGCUGCAGUAGGGAAUCUUCCACAAUGGGCAAAGCCUGAU
rnacentral:rRNA from 1 species